rnacentral:rRNA from 1 species
AGCGAACGCUGGCGGCAGGCCUAACACAUGCAAGUCGAACGAACUCUUCGGAGUUAGUGGCGGACGGGUGAGUAACACGUGGGAACGUGCCUUUAGGUUCGGAAUAACUCAGGGAAACUUGUGCUAAUACCGAAUGUGCCCUUCGGGGGAAAGAUUUAUCGCCUUUAGAGCGGCCCGCGUCUGAUUAGCUAGUUGGUGAGGUAACGGCUCACCAAGGCGACGAUCAGUAGCUGGUCUGAGAGGAUGAUCAGCCACAUUGGGACUGAGACACGGCCCAAACUCCUACGGGAGGCAGCAGUGGGGAAUCUUGCGCAAUGGGCGAAAGCCUGACGCAGCCAUGCCGCGUGAAUGAUGAAGGUCUUAGGAUUGUAAAAUUCUUUCACCGGGGACGAUAAUGACGGUACCCGGAGAAGAAGCCCCGGCUAACUUCGUG